GCUAAAAGCAUAAUAGUAGAUACAAACAUAUAUACGCCAAUAAAACAAACCAUUUGACCAACCCAGUAGAUGUGAUCGAACAGUCCAAUAUCACCAAAGAGUACCGCAAGGGAACCAUUAAAGCACCAAACAGCAAAGAUUAACCCUUGUACCUUUCGCAUCAUGGUUUAGCAAGAAAUCUUAAAGGCAAGAUGAAUCAUAGUCUUUCACCCCGAAACCAGAUGAGCUACCUCAAAGCAGCCUAAUAGAGCGCACCCUUCUCUGUAGCAAAAGAGUGGGAAGACUUUAAGGUAGAGGCGAAACACCUACCGAAUCUGGAGAUAGCUGGCUACCUAAAAAAGAAUAUAAGUUCUACCUUAGGCCCACAACAGCCACCGUAUGACGCCUAAAGAAAUUCAAUAGGAGUACAGGCCUUUGAUUAAUGAUCAACCUACAUUGGAAGGAUGACCCCACGACUCCCCACCCGUGGGCUUCAAAGCAGCACCAACAAAUAUGUCAAAGAAUUAAUAAACUAAUACUAAACCCAAACUAAAAACUCCAAACCCACUAAAGGUAAACCUACAUCAGUAGGUACUACCCUGCUAAAACUAAUAAUAAGACAACCUCUCUAAACGCACCCUUCUUCUAGAAACAGAAAACCUACUAGACAUUAACAGACCUAAAAAGGACAAAAAGAACCCAAUCCACACCAAUACUCCCACUGUGACCCCGACACAGGUGCGCCAAAAAGAAAGAUCAAACACUACAAAAGGAACUCGGCAACCACAGACCCCGACUGUUUAACAAAAACAUAACCUUUAGUCAAUAAACCAAUAUU
rnacentral:rRNA from 1 species